AUUGAACGCUGGCGGCAUGCCUUACACAUGCAAGUCGAACGGCAGCGCGGGAGCAAUCCUGGCGGCGAGUGGCGAACGGGUGAGUAAUACAUCGGAACGUGCCCAAUCGUGGGGGAUAACGCAGCGAAAGCUGUGCUAAUACCGCAUACGAUCUACGGAUGAAAGCAGGGGAUCGCAAGACCUUGCGCGAAUGGAGCGGCCGAUGGCAGAUUAGGUAGUUGGUGAGGUAAAGGCUCACCAAGCCUUCGAUCUGUAGCUGGUCUGAGAGGACGACCAGCCACACUGGGACUGAGACACGGCCCAGACUCCUACGGGAGGCAGCAGUGGGGAAUUUUGGACAAUGGGCGAAAGCCUGAUCCAGCCAUGCCGCGUGCAGGAUGAAGGCC
rnacentral:rRNA from 1 species